rnacentral:snoRNA from 14 species
AGCACUAUAUUUAAACCUAUGGAUGAGAAUUUUCCUCAUUCUUGGUUACGCUGUAGUGCAAAAGAAAACCUGGCUCCAUCUGUUGCACAGCUUACUUGUACCAUUCUGCUGUUGCUUAAUGGAGUUAAGGAACAUUG